CGCCCUUCGCAAAAGAUUCUUGAUGUAUGAAGGGUCCUGCCUGCCCAGUGACUUUUAGUUAAACGGCCGCGGUAUCUUGACCGUGCAAAGGUAGCAUAAUCAUUUGCCUCUUAAAUAGAGGCUGGUAUGAAUGGCAAGACGGGGGUUUAGCUGUCUCUCUUUUAAUUGAGUUGAAUUUAAUUUCUUUGUGAAGAAGCGAAGAUUGGAUCGCAGGACGAGAAGACCCUGUCGAGCUUAAGUAAUGAAGAUAAGCAUAAAAAAUACUCUUUUAUUAAUAAUACCUUUUAAGGGAUGUGAUUUUUAUUCAAGGUAUGAGUGUGCUAUGUCAGUUUUAUUUUGAUUGGGGCAAUCGCGGAGAAAAUAAAACCUCCGUUAUAAGUGUUAAUGUUGUAAAGUAACUUCUUUAUUGUGUAGGAAUACGUAUUUUUGAUCCACGUGGAGUGAGUGAAGGAACAAGUUACCGCAGGGAUAACAGCGUAAUUUUUUUGGAGAGUUCAUAUUGAUAAAAGGGUUUGCGACCUCGAUGUUGGAUCGGGAUUUCCAGGAGAUGCAGCAGUUUCCAAGGGUUGGUCUGUUCGACCAUUAAAAUCCU
rnacentral:rRNA from 1 species